rnacentral:lncRNA from 1 species
UCGAACAAACAGUAAAUUGCAAUCGCCUGAUCUCACAAUGAGACAGUUAAACGAUAUUUUGAAGAAAAUGUAUGUACAAAUACAAGUACCCGCUUCAUGCAUUCUCGUUGAAUUACUGGUACCCUCUUCAUCAUGCCCCGAUAGAGCUAUCGUUUGAGCUAUCGACCAGAGCUGCGAUUCCAUACAAGCUUUCAUACCAAAUCAAACCCCGCUUACAAUUAAGAAGCGAAAAACAAAACUCUCACCAGGGAGAGAAAACAACCUUAGAUGAAAC